AUUGAACGCUGGCGGCAGGCUUAACACAUGCGAGUCGAGCGGGGUGAUGGUGCUUGCACUAUCACUUAGCGGCGGACGGGUGAGUAAUGCUUAGGAAUCUGCCUAUUAGUGGGGGACAACAUCUCGAAAGGGAUGCUAAUACCGCAUACGUCCUACGGGAGAAAGCAGGGGAUCACUUGUGACCUUGCGCUAAUAGAUGAGCCUAAGCCGGAUUAGCUAGUUGGUGGGGUAAAGGCCUACCAAGGCGACGAUCUGUAGCGGGUCUGAGAGGAUGAUCCGCCAAACUGGGACGGAGACACGGCCCAGACUCCUACGGGAGGCAGCAGUGGGGAAUAUUGGACAAUGGGGGGAACCCUGAUCCAGCCAUGCCGCGUGUGUGAAGAAGGCCUUAUGGUUGUAAAGCACUUUAAGCGAGGAGGAGGCUCUUUUGGUUAAUACCCAAGAUGAGUGGACGUUACUCGCAGAAUAAGCACCGGCUAACUCUGUGCCAGCAGCCGCCGUAA
rnacentral:rRNA from 1 species